CACUUCACACUCUAAACAACACAGUUCAAGUUGGGUGAUCUAUUAGCCAUGGAAAGAUUUUUGUUAGUUUUGGUUCUUGUAGUUUGUACCAGUUUUAUCCACGAAAGCUUCUGCUACUCAACACAGUUUAGAAACAUUGGAAAACGCUCAUCAAAGAAUCGACUAAGAGGUCUUAAAGCUCAAUUGAAUAAGUUCUUCGAGACAGCAAAACAGAUURAUUGUAAGCAAAAUUUGGAUGUGACGGACGAAGACGUUCUAAAAGGACAAAGAACUAUGAAUUUYAAAGAAAAAAAUUAAGAUAUCUUCAUGUUAAUAGUAUGCUGCUGUUCCGAAGAUAAACAUAUGUGUAAUAAGCAAUAAAUGGCUUACAAAUAUUUUAAACAUUUCACUAUAACUUGAUUAUAUCUUUAUUAAAACAUGCUGUUGAUAGUA